UUCUGUGACAGUUGAGCAGG
rnacentral:snRNA from 1 species